rnacentral:rRNA from 1 species
GAUGAACGCUGGCGGCGUGCCUAAUACAUGCAAGUCGAACGCGCAGCGAAAGGUGCUUGCACCUUUCAAGCGAGUGGCGAACGGGUGAGUAACACGUGGAUAACCUGCCUCAAGGCUGGGGAUAACAUUUGGAAACAGAUGCUAAUACCGAAUAAAACUUAGUAUCGCAUGAUACUAAGUUAAAAGGCGCUACGGCGUCACCUAGAGAUGGAUCCGCGGUGCAUUAGUUAGUUGGUGGGGUAAAGGCUUACCAAGACGAUGAUGCAUAGCCGAGUUGAGAGACUGAUCGGCCACAUUGGGACGGAGACACGGCCCAAACUCCUACGGGAGGCUGCAGUAGGGAAUCUUCCACAAUGGGCGCAAGCCUGAUGGAGCAACGCCGCGUGUGUGAUGAAGGCUUUCGGGUCGUAAAGCACUGUUGUAUGGGAAGAAAUGCUAAAAUAGGGAAUGAUUUUAGUUUGACGGUACCAUACCAGAAAGGGACGGCUAAAUACGUGCCAGCCGCCGCGGUAA